rnacentral:rRNA from 1 species
AUUGAACGCUGGCGGCAUGCCUUACACAUGCAAGUCGAACGGCAGCACGGGUGCUUGCACCUGGUGGCGAGUGGCGAACGGGUGAGUAAUACAUCGGAACGUACCUUAUCGUGGGGGAUAACGCAGCGAAAGCUGCGCUAAUACCGCAUACGCCCUGAGGGGGAAAGCGGGGGACCGUAAGGCCUCGCGCGAUUAGAGCGGCCGAUGUCUGAUUAGCUUGUUGGUGAGGUAAAAGCUCACCAAGGCGAUGAUCAGUAGCUGGUCUGAGAGGACGAUCAGCCACACUGGGACUGAGACACGGCCCAGACUCCUACGGGAGGCAGCAGUGGGGAACUUUGGACAAUGGGGGCAACCCUGAUCCAGCAAUGCCGCGUGAGUGAAGAAGGCCUUCGGGUUGUAAAGCUCUUUUGUCAGGGAAGAAACAGCAGCUCUAACACAGUCUGCGAAUGACGGUACCUGAAGAAUAAGCACCGGCUAACUACGUGCCAGCCGCCGCGGUAA